rnacentral:rRNA from 1 species
GUAGGGAAUAUUGGGCAAUGGAUGCAAGUCUGACCCAGCCAUCCCGCGUGCCGGAAGAAGGCCCUCAGGGUUGUAAACGGCUUUUGACGGUGAAGAAUCGACAGGAUGCGUCCUGUUUUGACGGUAGCCGUUGAAUAAGCACCGGCUAACUCCGUGCCAGCAGCCGCGGUAAUACGGAGGGUGCGAGCGUUGUCCGGAUUUAUUGGGUUUAAAGGGUGCGUAGGCUGGAAGGUCAGUCAGCGGUGAAAAGCUUUCGCUUAACGAUAGUCUUGCCGCAGAUACUUCCUUUCUUGGAUGAGGAGGAGGCCACUGGAACGGAUGGUGUAGCGGUGAAAUGCAUAGAUAUCAUCCAGAACACCGAUUGCGAAGGCAGGUGGCUGUACCUUAAUCGACGCUGAUGCACGAAAGCAUGGGGAGCAAACAGGAUUAGAUACCCGGGUAGUCC